UAUACUGUGAUCAAUUUUGUUCGGUAUUGUAUGACAAUACCGAACAAAAUUGGUCACAGUAU
rnacentral:pre_miRNA from 13 species